GAAUUUUGCGCAAUGGGCGAAAGCCUGACGCAGCAACGCCGCGUGAGUGAUGAAGGCCUUCGGGUCGUAAAGCUCUGUCAGAGGGGAAGAACCGCCACGAGGACAAUACCCUCGUGGUCUGACGGUACCCUCAAAGGAAGCACCGGCUAACUCCGUGCCAGCAGCCGCGGUAAUACGGAGGGUGCAAGCGUUGUUCGGAAUUAGUGGGCGUAAAGCGCGCGCAGGCGGUCUGUUAAGUCUGAUGUGAAAGCCCCGGGCUCAACCCGGGAAGUGCAUUGGAAACUGGCAGACUUGAGUACGGGAGAGGGAAGUGGAAUUCCGAGUGUAGGGGUGAAAUCCGUAGAUAUUCGGAGGAACACCGGUGGCGAAGGCGGCUUCCUGGACCGAUUCUGACGCUGAUCCGCGAAAGCGUGGGGAGCAAACAGG
rnacentral:rRNA from 1 species